rnacentral:rRNA from 1 species
AACAACUCACCUGCCGAAUGGAUUAGCCCUGAAAAUGGAUGGCGCUCAAGCGCGCGGCCGACACCGUGCCGUUGGUUUUAUAAUAAAAACCCAAUGAGUAGGAGGGCGCGGGGGUGCUAGGGAAGCUCACGCGCGAGCGUGGGUGGAAGCGCCUCUGGUGCAGAUCUUGGUGGUAGUAGCAAAUAUUCAAGCGAGAUCCUUGAAGGGCGAAGUGGGGAAGGGUUCCACGCGAACAUUGAUUGGACGUGGGUGAGUCGUUCCUAAGCGAGGCGGCAAUCGCGCUUUUGGCAUUCGCGAAAGGGAAGCCAGUUAAAAUUCUGGCGCACGCGCACGGGCGUAGUGGUGACACGCAACAGUCACUUGGAUUACCAAAUGGCUUGCAUUGUGGGUGGGGGCGAGUACGCUGGCGAGCGCCUCGGACAGAGUUGUCUUUUCUGUUUAAAUUGUCCUUGCUUGGCUGGUGUGGAAGAACGUUACGUUGAGAAACACAGCCCGGGAUGAAGAGCGUUGCGAUUUUUGCAGCGUCCGGAGCGCGUUCGACGGCCCUUGAAACUUUGCUCUCCCAAUAGUUUUUCUGUAACAGGAAAGGCUGAGAGCCCGUGUCGUGACGUACCGAUAACCGCAUCUGGUCCCCAGGUCUCAAACACUCUGCUCAGUAUGAAUAAU